AACAUGUCUUUAUGUUUAAAAUUUAAAGUCUAGCCUGCCCACUGAGUUUUUAAAGGGCUGCGGUAAUUUGACCGUGCAAAGGUAGCAUAAUCAGUAGUCUUUUAAUUGAAGGCUGGAAUGAACGGUUGGAUGAAAGAUUAACUGUCUCUAAUAUAGUUUAUAAUUUGACUUUUAAGUGAAAAGGCUUAAAUUAAUUAAAGGGACGAUAAGACCCUAUAAAACUUAACAUAUAUAAAAACUUGUUUUUAAAUUUUAAAUUAAAAUUGUAAAUUUGURCAUAUGUUUCGUUGGGGAGACGUCGAUAUAAAUAGUAACUGUCUGAGUAAAAAUUAUAAURAUAAUUAGUUUUUGAUCCUUCUUUGAAGAUUAAAAGAAUAAGUUACUUUAGGGAUAACAGCGUAAUUUUCUCUGAGAGUUCUUAUCGAAGAGAGUAGUUGCGACCUCGAUGUUGAAUUAAAAUUUCUCUUAGGUGCAGCUGUCUAAGUAGUAGGUCUGUUCGACCUUUAAAAUUUUACAUGAUUUGAGUUCAAACCGGUGUGAGCCA
rnacentral:rRNA from 1 species